GUCAGUGUGGCGUAAUGGUCUGAGUGUUGGACUAGGACUCUGGAGAUCAGGGUUUGAUUCCAAGCUCAGGCA